rnacentral:rRNA from 1 species
CCUACGGGAGGCAGCAGUAAGGAGUAUUGGUCAAUGGGAGGAAUCCUGAACCAGCCAUGCCGCGUGCGGGACGAAGGCCCUUUGGGUUGUAAACCGCUUUUGUCAGGGAAGAAUGGGUUAGAUUUAUCUAAUGAGAGACGGUACCUGAAGAAUAAGCACCGGCUAACUCCGUGCCAGCAGCCGCGGUAAUACGGAGGGUGCAAGCGUUAUCCGGAAUCACUGGGUUUAAAGGGUACGUAGGCGGUUUAAUAAGUCAGGUGUGAAAUACCGCAGCCUAACUGCGGAACUGCACUUGAUACUGUUAGACUUGAGAGGAGUGGAGGUAUACGGAAUGCAUCAUGUAGCGGUGAAAUGCUUAGAUAUGAUGUAGAACACCGAUAGCGAAGGCAGUGUGCCACACUUUAUCUGACGCUGAGGUACGAAAGCGUGGGUAGCGAACAGGAUUAGAUACCCUGGUAGUCCACGCCCUAAACGAUGAAUGCCAGACGUCGGGCAGCAUGCUGUUCGGUGUCACACCUAACGGAUUAAGCAUUCCGCCUGGGGAGUACGGCCGCAAGGUUAAAACUCAAAGGAAUUGACGG